CCCCCCCCCCCCCCCCCCCCCCCCCCCCCCCCCCCCCCCCCCCCCCCCCCCCCCCCCCCCCCCCCCCCCCCCCCCCCCCCCCCCCCCCCCCCCCCACCACGCUGAGGUAACUGGGAGUGCCUGGGAAUGACUAUGAGAUUGUUCAGUGCAACUGGGAUAUACUGGGAGUGACUGGGAAUGGGCUGGGGCGAAAACUGGGACCGUGCUGGGGCAACUGGGGGCAACUGUGAGUGACUGGGGCCCUGCUGGCAGAGACUGGCAUCAUACUGGACUAGUACUGGAAGUGACUGGGACUGUGCUAGGGGCAGCUGGGGGUAUUGGGAACACACUGGACCAAAGAGGAGUUACAAAGCAUAUCCGUUUAAAAAUUUUUUCUGUAACUUUAAUCCAGAGCCUUUGGGCGCAUUUGCCCUAACUGACUUUUAAUUUUCUUUGCAGGGCAUCGCUGCACCAUGUGGGGUGGGAUGAAC
rnacentral:lncRNA from 12 species